rnacentral:rRNA from 1 species
AAUAGAUACCCCGGUAGUCCACGCCGUAAACGAUGAGUGCUAAGUGUUAGAGGGUUUCCGCCCUUUAGUGCUGCAGCUAACGCAUUAAGCACUCCGCCUGGGGAGUACGGCCGCAAGGCUGAAACUCAAAGGAAUUGACGGGGGCCCGCACAAGCGGUGGAGCAUGUGGUUUAAUUCGAAGCAACGCGGAGAACCUUACCAGGUCUUGACAUCCUCUGCCAACCCUAGAGAUAGGGCGUUCCCCUUCGGGGGACAGAGUGACAGGUGGUGCAUGGUUGUCGUCAGCUCGUGUCGUGAGAUGUUGGGUUAAGUCCCGCAACGAGCGCAACCCUUGAUCUUAGUUGCCAGCAUUCAGUUGGGCACUCUAAGGUGACUGCCGGUGACAAACCGGAGGAAGGUGGGGAUGACGUCAAAUCAUCAUGCCCCUUAUGACCUGGGCUACACACGUGCUACAAUGGAUGGUACAAAGAGCAGCGAACCCGCGAGGGUAAGCCAAUCUCAUAAAGCCAUUCUCAGUUCGGA